UGGACUUCAGCAAGGCCUUUGACAAGGUUCCACAUGGAAGGUUAUUCAGGAUAGCUCCAUGAGCAUACAGUGUACACCAACACCAAAAAAAAGCUGGAGAAACUCAGCAGGUCAGACAGCAUCAAUAGAGGAAAAUGAACAGUCAACAUUUUGGGCUGAGACCCUUCAUCAGGACUGAAGACAGUUGAUAAGGCGAUCUCAUGAGGCUGC